GCUGAACUUCACCAGAAGGUAGUUUUAACACUAUUGGUACACCUGAACAACCAACUGAAGAAUGUAAGAAAACGUUACUGCACCCUUAAGGCCCUUCUGCUUAUAAACAAGCUUUGUCUGACAGCCUCCUGUUCUUCUCCUACCUCAUAUUGUCACUCACCGCUGUAAUUCCUCGCUUGCAAGAAAUCAUUAUCACAGCUCUUCUUUUCUCACCACUGCAGUGCCUACCAUAUGAAUCACCUCCUUUAUAAAUCAGCAUGAUCCAGUCACUUCCAUUGAAGACCUGGGUUUCAUUGAUUCUUCCUAUCACUGUAGUCUUUCCAGACUGCCUAUCCAUUUGUACUAGGCCAGCAAAAUCAUGCAAGCUGCUGUUGACCUCUCUGCAUACCCUGAAAUGGUAGGCAUAGUUUUCAGUUGUGCCAAUCUCCACAGUCGUGUUAAAUCUUAUUUGGCUCAGGGGUUCUAGUUUCUUCAGCAGGGCUUUUUCCAUUUGGGACUCAGUACUCUCAUCACCAACCACAUCACAGCUCUUCUCCGACAGCGGUUCAGCCCCCACACCAGCAGCAAGGGCCAUAAAGACUACCAGCACAGCAGAGGUAUGGCAAUGUGAUGACAUCCUGCUACUGUGCACCGUCCUCUCGGCCCGCACCGCGGCCCGACGGAGAAAUGAAGGCUGCUCAGGGACAGGCCGUAGCCGGCGAGCAGGGGCAGAGCCCAAGGGCCACAGCAGCAGCCAUGGCUGUCUCACUACCCUCGCCCGCCCCAUGAACCGGAAAUAGGAAGAGCAUGACAAAAACUAAUGCGCUGCGCCGCCCAAGGAAACCUCAG
rnacentral:lncRNA from 1 species